AUUGAACGCUGGCGGCAGGCCUAACACAUGCAAGUCGAACGGUAACAGGAAGCAGCUUGCUGCUUUGCUGACGAGUGGCGGACGGGUGAGUAAUGUCUGGGAAACUGCCCGAUGGAGGGGGAUAACUACUGGAAACGGUAGCUAAUACCGCAUAACGUCGCAAGACCAAAGAGGGGGACCUUAGGGCCUCUUGCCAUCGGAUGUGCCCAGAUGGGAUUAGCUAGUAGGUGGGGUAACGGCUCACCUAGGCGACGAUCCCUAGCUGGUCUGAGAGGAUGACCAGCCACACUGGAACUGAGACACGGUCCAGACUCCUACGGGAGGCAGCAGUGGGGAAUAUUGCACAAUGGGCGCAAGCCUGAUGCAGCCAUGCCGCGUGUAUGAAGAAGGCCUUCGGGUUGUAGAGUACUUUCAGCGGGGAGGAAGGGAGUAAAGUUAAUACCUUUGCUCAUUGACGUUACCCGCAGAAGAAGCACCGGCUAACUCCGUG
rnacentral:rRNA from 1 species